CAAAUUGUUUCUUUGCUCUGAGCGAAAGGGGAAGCAUGGCUUGCUGUCUGACAGAGUAGGUCACUUUGAUGGCACACUUCACCAGCCCUGCUGGCCCACCAGAAGAUAUUUGAUUUCAUUUAUAAGGACUGUGCAGUACCUCACAUCAAAGAGCUGCCAUUUGUAUCAGUAUGGAAACUCCUGCAGUGCUGAACUUACUCUGCAGUUUGCAAGCUUCUUGGCUGCCCUUUCUGCCUGCCUUGCAGAGGACAUGUGGCUGCAACUUCAUCUGCAAAUGCAGAAAGGGUGACAGCGUAAGAAAGUUGAGAGCCAAAUCAGCUGUGGUUUGUGGUUCCAACUGAGAGCAUCUUGGAUCAGAAGUGGGACAAUGUGGAAUUUUUUGUACCAAUGGCAGAAAAAAAGCCUGGAGCAGGCAGGACAAAACAAAAUGAGGCUUUCCCCAAGCCUACCUUGCAACUUGUUAGAAGCCUGGAGGAUCUUCCUUUCAGUCUCCACUGGAGCUUCCCAAUACACUCAUCUCCAUGAAGGACAGAAAACAAGUUCAUUGGAGUCAGAGCACAUUCCGUGUUUGCAAAAAGAUCAGCUUGAUCCACUGGUUUAAUAACUGAUCACACUGAUUUAAUAAAUUUUGCAAGCAUGGUGAAUUGACCCUAACAGUGCUCCCCUGUUCCGUCCUUGUGGAGUGCAAAAGCUUUACCUUCAGUUAUCAAAAAACUCUGGACACACUGAAGGAGUCUCAAACACUUGUAUACCUGUGUGGGGUGGAUUUCUUUAAAGUCAAGUAGGAAGUGCUGGUCAGGAUUUAAAACACACAGUAAGUCAGAGAAUGAAUCUCCUCUUCUAUUUUCAUAAGUGUUCUUACUAGCACUGAAACCUACAGAUCCUGAGUAGACUUCCAAGAGCCAGCUAAUUACCCACUGCAACCUCAGAAGAGGUGGUAUGGUCAUAAUUUGGCCCUUUGGUAUUCUGUCAGUGCCUGGAUCAUCAUCGCAGCAUCUAAGUUAGUUUGCUUACAUGUUAUCUGUGAAGUAAAACAAGCAGUUU